rnacentral:misc_RNA from 1 species
AAACCCUCAAGCUCAGCUUGGUGUUGGGUGCUUGUCCCGCCUCCGCGCGGCGACUCACCUCAAAGUCAGUGGCAGCCCGCAUCAGCCGGCCGUGAGCGCAGCACAGUCGCGCCCUAGGCCCCGGCAGGUCGGCUCUCCAGAAGCACAUCUUCUUA